rnacentral:sRNA from 1 species
UCCAUUGAAGAUGCCCAUAUGAGUGGAC